rnacentral:rRNA from 1 species
AUGACCAAGAAAAACAAGUUUGCCCCCCACAAGCAAAUCAAUGUGGAGGCUCUUCGGGACAAUGAUCAUAUCUAUCCCGGUGUGUAUAAUGCUCUUGGGAGGCUUGGCUUGAUCCCGUUCGUCGCCUUCCACCAUCUGUUCAGUGAAGAUCUUGUGAUGCAGUUCUUUGCCACCGUAUACUUCCACAGUGAUGAGGCUCGCACUAUGACUUGGAUGUCUGGCACAUAUGAGUGUGAGGCCUCCAUGGCCAAAUUCUCUGACAUCAUUCCGUAUCGGUUCUUUGCUGAGGAGCAUCCUGAGUAUGGCCGUGCUCGUGAGACAGGUAGAGACAAGGAUGAGAUUGCUUUUGCUUACAAGCCAGACAAGGCCUUCACCACCGGUUCUAUCAAACAUUUGAAGCCAACCUAUGAUACUAUGCGUCACAUUCUUAGGUACACGCUUAAUCCUAAGACCGGGGACUCUCACAAUCUGAGGAGCUCCAUGUUGGACAUCUUUGUCUACCUUCAUGGCAAGAAGAAAGUGGAUGUUCUGGACUUCAUGUUCUUUGAGAUCAGGCAGUGUGUUCAGGAGAACAAGUCAUGCAUCUAUGCUCCGUUCAUCCAAGCUUUGAUUGAGUCUGUCUGUCCCGCCAGGUACAUUGCCAAGUACCGCACCUCCUUUCCGAAGCGUGAUGCCAACUGGCUUCCGGCUGCUCCUCCACCAUAUGUGCCUCCCAAGAAGGGGCGCAACCCCAGGCCUGAGGAUCGUGCUACCUACACUGAGGGAUGUUCAUCCUAUGUGCGGAUUCCGCGUAGCGAAGGGAAGCAGGUUGCUACUGAUGCCAGUUUCACCAGAGAGGAGAAGAAGUCUCUUCUGAAGACCGUGAGCAACAUGUUCAAAAUGUGUCAGUCCAUUCAGCGCCGUCAGGUCAAGAAGAUCAACAAGGGCAAGCUGGUGAGGCGUCAGAAGAAGGCUGAGCGUGCUGCAGCUGGUGAGGAGGUUGGUCCAGGGUCCGAGGACAACAACAGUGUGGUCACAGCUCGUUCUUUUCCCUUGGAGGGAUGGCACUUUGAUGAUGAUGAUGAUGAUGCUUCGAGCGCACCUCCUCUUGUCUAG